GACGAACGCUGGCGGCGUGCCUAAUACAUGCAAGUAGAACGCUGAAGGAGGAGCUUGCUUCUCUGGAUGAGUUGCGAACGGGUGAGUAACGCGUAGGUAACCUGCCUGGUAGCGGGGGAUAACUAUUGGAAACGAUAGCUAAUACCGCAUAAUAGUAGAUGUUGCAUGACAUUUGCUUAAAAGGUGCAAUUGCAUCACUACCAGAUGGACCUGCGUUGUAUUAGCUAGUUGGUGGGGUAACGGCUCACCAAGGCGACGAUACAUAGCCGACCUGAGAGGGGGAUCGGCCACACUGGGACUGAGACACGGCCCAGACUACUACGGGAGGCAGCAGUAGGGAAGCUUCGGCAAUGGACGGAAGGCUGACCGAGCAACGCCGCGUGAGUGAAGAAGGGUUUCGGAUCGGAAAGCUCUGUUGUAAGAGAAGAACGAGUGUGAGAGUGGAAAGUUCACACUGUGACGGUAUCUGACCAGAAAGGGACGGCUAACUACGUG
rnacentral:rRNA from 1 species